AAUAAAGACUACUUUGAGGCAGACACAAGGGAACACAGACAGAAGAGGGUUGUGUGUGUGUGUGUGUGUGUGUGUGUGUGUGUGUGUGUGUGUGUGUGUGUGUGUGUGUGUGUGUGUGGGUGUGUGUGUGUGUGUGUGUGUGUGUGUGUGUGUGGGUGUGGUACGUGUGUGCACACUGGCAGACAGCUGAGGGGAGCGAGAAGUGUGUCUCUGGUCUCCUCCCUCUAUCCUCUGGUCUGGUCUCUCGCUCUAUCCUCUGGUCUGGUCUCUCCCUCUGUCCUCUGGUCUGGUCUGGUCUCUCCCUCUCUCCUCUGGUCUGGUCUCUCGCUCUAUCCUCUGGUCUGGUCUCUCGCUCUAUCCUCUGGUCUGGUCUCUCGCUCUAUCCUCUGGUCUGGUCUCUCCCUCUGUCCUCUGGUCUGGUCUCUCCCUCUCUCCUCUGGUCUGGUCUGUCUCUCUCACCUCUGGUCUGGUCUCUCCCUCUCUGGUCUGGUCUCUCCCUCUCUCUCCUCUGGUCUGGUCUCUCCCUCUCUCCUCUGGUCUGGUCUCUCUCUCUCACCUCUGGUCUGGUCUCUCCCUCUCUGGUCUGGUCUCUCCCUCUCUCUCCUCUGGUCUGGUCUCUCCCUCUCUCCUCUGGUCUGGUCUCUCCCUCUCUCUCCUCUGGUCUGGCCUCUCCCUCUCUCCUCUGGUCUGGUCUCCUCCCUCUCUCCUCUGGUCUGGUCUCUCCCUCUCUCCUCUGGUCUGGUCUCUCCCUCCCUCUAUCCUCUGGUCUGGUCUCUCCCUCUCUCCUCUGGUCUGGUCUCUCCCUCUCUGGUCUGGUAUCUCCCUCUCUGGUCUGGUCUCUCCCUCUCUCUCUCUCCUCUGGUCUGGUCUCUCCCUCUCUCCUCUGGUCUGGUCUCUCCCUCCCUCUCUCUCCUCUGGUCUGGUCUCUCCCUCUCUCCUCUGGUCUGGUCUCUCUCUCUCUCACCUCUGGUCUGGUCUCUCCCUCUCUGGUCUGGUCUCUCCCUCUCUGGUCUGGUCUCUCCCUCUCUCCUCUGGUCUGGUCUCUCCCUCUCUGGUCUGGUCUCUCCCUCUCUCUCCUCUCAUCUGGUCUCCUCCUUCUCUCCUCUGGUCUGGUCUCUCCCUCCCUCUACCCCUCCUCCCCUCUACUCUCCUUGCCUCUACCCCUGCUCCCUCCCCCAUCACCUGUAUCUCCUGACUCCCAAACCACCUCCCCUCUGGUCCCUAAUCCAGAGAUAA
rnacentral:lncRNA from 1 species